rnacentral:rRNA from 1 species
AGUGAACGCUGGCGGUAGGCCUAACACAUGCAAGUCGAACGGCAGCACAGUAAGAGCUUGCUCUUACGGGUGGCGAGUGGCGGACGGGUGAGGAAUACAUCGGAAUCUACUUUUUCGUGGGGGCUAACGUAGGGAAACUUACGCUAAUACCGCAUACGACCUACGGGUGAAAGCAGGGGAUCUUCGGACCUUGCGCGAUUGAAUGAGCCGAUGUCGGAUUAGCUAGUUGGCGGGGUAAAGGCCCACCAAGGCGACGAUCCGUAGCUGGUCUGAGAGGAUGAUCAGCCACACUGGAACUGAGAAACGGUCCAGACUCCUACGGGAGGCAGCAGUGGGGAAUAUUGGACAAUGGGCGCAAGCCUGAUCCAGCCAUACCGCGUGGGUGAAGAAGGCCUUCGGGUUGUAAAGCCAUUUUGUUGGGAAAGAAAAGCAGCAGGUUAAUACCCCGCUGUUCUGACGGUACCCAAAGAAUAAGCACCGGCUAACUUCGUG